UUAUGUCAUGUUAUCGAUAUGUGAAUACAUAGCAUAUCAGAAGGCACACCCGGAGAACUGAAACAUCUUAGUACCCGGAGGAAGAGAAAGAAAAUUCGAUUCCCUUAGUAGCGGCGAGCGAAACGGGAAGAGCCCAAACCAACAAGCUUGCUUGUUGGGGUUGUAGGACACUCUAUACGGAGUUACAAAGGACGACAUUAGACGAAUCAUCUGGAAAGAUGAAUCAAAGAAGGUAAUAAUCCUGUAGUCGAAAAUGUUGUCUCUCUUGAGUGGAUCCUGAGUACGACGGAGCACGUGAAAUUCCGUCGGAAUCUGGGAGGACCAUCUCCUAAGGCUAAAUACUCUCUAGUGACCGAUAGUGAACCAGUACCGUGAGGGAAAGGUGAAAAGCACCCCGGAAGGGGAGUGAAAUAGAACCUGAAACCGUGUGCUUACAAGUAGUCAGAGCCCGUUAAUGGGUGAUGGCGUGCCUUUUGUAGAAUGAACCGGCGAGUUACGAUUUGAUGCAAGGUUAAGCAGUAAAUGUGGAGCCGUAGCGAAAGCGAGUCUGAAUAGGGCGUUUAGUAUUUGGUC
rnacentral:rRNA from 1 species